rnacentral:rRNA from 1 species
GAUGAACGCUAGCGGCAGGCUUAAUACAUGCAAGUCGAGGGGUAGCAAGAUUGUAGCAAUACAAUUGUUGACGACCGGCAAACGGGUGCGGAACACGUACACAACCUUCCUACAAGUGGGGAAUAGCACAGAGAAAUUUGGAUUAAUACCCCGUAACAUAGCGAUGUGGCAUCACAUUGCUAUUAUGGCUUCGGCGCCUGUGUAUGGGUGUGCGGCUGUUUAGAUAGUUGGCGGGGUAACGGCCCACCAAGUCUACGAUCAGUAGCUGAUGUGAGAGCAUGAUCAGCCACACGGGCACUGAGACACGGGCCCGACUCCUACGGGAGGCAGCAGUAAGGAAUAUUGGACAAUGGACGUAAGUCUGAUCCAGCCAUGCCGCGUGAAGGAUUAAGGUCCUCUGGAUUGUAAACUUCUUUUAUAAGGGACGAAAAAAGGUCUUUCUAGAUCGUCUGACGGUACCUUAUGAAUAAGCACCGGCUAACUCCGUGCCAGCCGCCGCAGUAAGAC